GAUGUACUCCCUCCGUUCGGAAUUACUUGUCACAGAAAUGGAUGUAUCUAGAUGUAUUUUAGUUCUAGAUACAUCCAUUUCCAAGACAAGUAAUUCUGAACGGAGGGAGUACAUA
rnacentral:pre_miRNA from 1 species